AUUGAACGCUGGCGGCAUGCCUUACACAUGCAAGUCGAACGGUAACGCGGGGCAACCUGGCGACGAGUGGCGAACGGGUGAGUAAUGCAUCGGAACGUGCCCAGUAGUGGGGGAUAGCCCGGCGAAAGCCGGAUUAAUACCGCAUACGACCUAAGGGUGAAAGCGGGGGAUCGCAAGACCUCGCGCUAUUGGAGCGGCCGAUGUCAGAUUAGGUUGUUGGUGGGGUAAAAGCCAACCAAGCCGACGAUCUGUAGCUGGUCUGAGAGGACGACCAGCCACAUGUGGGCUGCGACACGGCGCAGACUGCUACGGGAGGCAGCAGUGGGGAACUUUGGACAAUCGGGGCAACCCCGAUCCUGCCAUGCCGCGUGCGGGAAGAAGGCCUUCGGGUUGUGACCCGCUUUUGUCAUGGAACAAACGCUCUGGGCUAAUACCCCGGGGGAAUGACGGUACCUGAAGAAUAAGCGCCGGCUAACUACGUGCCAGCAGCCGCGGUAAGAC
rnacentral:rRNA from 1 species